rnacentral:rRNA from 1 species
UACGUAGGGACCAAGCGUUGUUCGGAUUUACUGGGCGUAAAGGGCGCGUAGGCGGCGUGACAAGUCAGUUGUGAAAUCUCCGAGCUUAACUCGGAACGGUCAACUGAUACUGUUGUGCUAGAGUACAGAAGGGGCAAUCGGAAUUCUUGGUGUAGCGGUGAAAUGCGUAGAUAUCAAGAGGAACACCUGAGGUGAAGACGGGUUGCUGGGCUGAUACUGACGCUGAGGCUCGCAAGCAAGAGUAGCGAA